rnacentral:rRNA from 1 species
CCUACGGGAGGCAGCAGUAGGGAAUCUUCCACAAUGGACGCAAGUCUGAUGGAGCAACGCCGCGUGAGUGAAGAAGGGUUUCGGCUCGUAAAGCUCUGUUGUUAAAGAAGAACGUGGGUAAGAGUAACUGUUUACCCAGUGACGUAUUAACCAGAAAGCCACGNAUCUCG